AUGACCGACCUUCAACGUUGAAAUAUGGUUGAAAUAAUGACAGUUGUCGUUUCAACGUUGAAACAACGUUGAUAUAACGUUUAAUGCUAAAUGGUUGAAAACCAACCAGUACAUGACUGACCUUCAACGUUGAAAUAUGGUUGAAAUAAUGACAGUUGUUGUUUCAACGUUGAAACAACGUUGAUAUAACGUUUAAUGCUAAAUGGUUGAAAACCAACCGGUACAUUACCAACCUUCAACGUUGAAAUAUGGUUGAAAUAAUGACAGCUGUUGUUUCAAUUUUGAUUGAAAUGCUAAAUGGUUGAAAAAGGGUAAUAAAAACACUUAUUAAUCAACUUUUUUUUUUUACAAGAUUCAUAUGUUGUAUCAAUUAAUGUAUGCACAGAAUAAAUAAUUUCUGCCUUUUAAAUUAUUAAGAUCAUUAUUAUUAUUAUUUAUUAUCCAUUUACAUUUUUAUCAUGAACCUUCUGGUAUAAAUAUUAUCAACAGCAAUAAAAGAUUGCGCUGCUUUACCACACUGAAACAAUUCCUAUUGGUUAUUUAACCUUAUUUGCUUUGAUUAUGAUUGGUUAAUCUGUCUGUCAUUCAUGAAACUGGCCAAUGAAACUGUGCGCGCCAUUUUAUGUUUGAAAAUAUGACCGUUAUCCUGACCGUCUUUCUGAUCGAGGACGUCAUUUGAAGCGAGACUGGUCUGGCCAAGGGAAGAGCACGAUAGAAAGUGGUCUGCGAGGGCGCGGGUUCAAAAGAUGCAGUCGUCAAUGCACACAACCCAACCAGUACAAAAGUAAUGAAGACCAUGUCCAAAUAUUUAAAAUAUGCACCAGAGAGGAUGGGUGGUGGUGGCCGUAAGAAGACUCUUCCUUGAAGACACUUUUUUUCCUUCUUCUGUUUUAAUGACUGUUGCUAGUAAAAUGUUAAGUUCUACGAAAGACUUCUUGUUCUACAAACUUUCCUUACUUUUACUUGGAUUCUUUUUCACUUAAUUGUUGAGAUUUUAGAAUGUUACGAAAUGAGUACAUAUGUUGGUCACGAAAUGAGUACAUAUGUUUGUUAUUAUUUAUAUAUAGGCUAUUGUGUAUAUUUGCAGUGUGUAUGAAAUUAGAAUUAAAAGCUUUUUCCCUCUGUAUUCUGAUAUCAUUAAACCCUUAAGAAAGUG